rnacentral:tRNA from 1 species
AAGCCUGAUGCCUAAGGCAAAGCCUUGUUUCUCCGGAGCGCAAGGUCGUAGGUUCGAUUCCUACCGGGC